UUCUCUGGGUGCGGAGGCGAGGCCGGAAGUGAUGUUGAGUAGGGAAUGGGGAGCGAGGUACCCUGGUGGUCCGCAGGUUAGGCGGGAGGCUCGCGGCUCUGGGCUGGAGGUAAGAAUGAAGAAAGUCGAGCUCUGGUGGGAGUGGUCCGGAUUCAUCUGAAGAGAGACACUGCGAGGUUCGUUGGUGGGAGACAGGUUUCGGUUUUGCUCAGAGGACGGAUGGACGUCCACCAGAGGUGAAUUGUCUGAAGAGAGCAGGUAAGCCCUUUAAGAAUAAUAAUGAAUACAACCGAAUGAAGCACAGCCGAAUGGACUCCCAAGAGGCUUCCCAGGUGGCACUAGAGGUCAAGGAUGCAUUCCAAGAAAGCUCUAAAGAUAUAUCACCAGCUCCGACCGUAUAGCUGACCUAGCCAUGGAAAACCUCACUGGAACCUUACUAGAUCGAAGCGUAAUCUUAAAAAAUAUGCUUCCCAUCAGAAAGUAUCAGGAAUAAAAAUCUGAGAUGUAUACCCACCACUUCAAGGAAGUUCCAGUGUCAGCCAACAGUUUAGCAGAUCAGCUAGUUUCUUUGAUCAAGCAGACGUAGUCAAGCUACCAACACAACAGAAGAAAAUGUCUCUGUAUUUUUCAUGUUAUGUGUGGGACCCAUUUAGUAGGUCAUGAAAUCAAUUUUGUGAGUCAUGAUGAACAUUUUUAAAAACAAAAUAAAAUUUGAAAUAUCAGAGUGCUUUGCAUAAAUCCUUUGCCAGAGUCCUGAACCUUACAGGGAAUACUAAGGUCAGUUUCAAUAUGUGAAAAGAUAUUUGAUGGAGGGGAUAUGAUCAAUAUAGUGUCCAUUGAUUGCUUAAGAAAUGGUUUUUCAGUCAUUUGUUCAUUGAUGUUUGGUUUUCAUAACAAAACGGCUGAUGUGCAGUCUAGUUGUAUAUUAUAACUUGCAACUGGAUAAAAUCUGAGAUGUUCAACUGAGAUUCAGUUGCAAAUUGAAUGUUUUGGAAAGAUAUUAUCCAGGCUAUAAAUAUACACACAUAAAUAUAUAUAUUUGAGUUAGUGGCAAUUGUAACAUUCAAAAUUGCUUUUAAAAUGGAUCAUUUCUUUUUUAAAAGAAAGAGGAAUAAUGAAACAAAAUAUGCAAAACAUGUUCAAGUUCUACCUCUGGAUCUGAAAGUGUGACCAGUGACAAUUAUGAGAAAAAUAUUGACUCUAAUCUGCAAACAUCAACUGCAUUUGAACCACAUUUCAAAAAGAAAAAAGUCAGUGUAAGACGUUAUAAUGAAGAUUAUUUAAAAUAUGGUUUUAUCAAAUGUGAAAAACCCUUUGAAAGUGACAGACCUCAGUGUGUUAUUUGUAAUAAUAUUCUUGCAAAUGAAAGCUUAAAACCUUAAAAAUUAAAAAGGCACUUAGAAACACAGCAUGCUGAACUUAUUGAUAAGCCUCUUGAAUAUUUUCAAAGGAAGAAAAAAGACGUAAAGUCACCAACACCAUUUCUUAGCUAUUCUUCUGUCAGUGAGAAAGCCUUAUUGUCAUCGUACUUAGUUGCAUAUAAUGUGGCGAAAGAGAAAAUGGCUUACACAGCUGCAGAAAAAAUUAUUCUUCCAGCAUGCUUGGAUACGGUGCGUACAAUUUUUGAUGAUAAAUCUGCGGAUAAACUAAAAACUAUUCCUAGUGACAACACGAUAGCUCUUCGAAUUUGUACAAUUGCCGAGCAUUUAGAGGCCACGCUUACUACUCGAUUACAGUCAGGAAUAGACUUUGCAGUUCAGUUUGAUGAAAGCACUGAUACUGGAAGCUGCCCAGCACUUUUAGUCUAUGUGAGAGACAUGGCAAGGUGUCUUCAUGGAGGGUUUUUUGUGUUGUUUAAACUUAACCUCAUGCCUAAGUGAAUUAGAUAUUUUCACAGAAUUGGAAAAGUGCAUUGUUGGUCACUAUAACUUAAACUGGAAAAACUGCAAAGGAAUCACAAGUGACGGAACAGCAAACAUAACUGGGAAACAGAGCAGAGUAAUUAAAGAGUUGCUCGAGGUGACUAGUGCUAUGUGGAAUCACUGUUUUACCCAUCGUGAAGCGUUAGUGUCCAGAGAGAUCCCACAGAAUCUCAUGGAAGUAUUGAAAAAUGCAGUGAAAGCUGUUAAUUUUAUUAAAGGAAGCUCACUAAACAGCCGACUGCUUGAAACCUUCUGUUUAGAGAUUGGAGCUAACUAUACCCACUUACUAUAUCAUACCAAAGUCCGCUGGUUAUCUCAAGGGAAAAUACUAAGCAGGGUUUAUGAACUCAGGAACGAGAUCCACAUUUUUCUCACUGAAAAGAAAUCUCAUUUGGCAACUAUUUUUGAGGAUGAUAUUUGGGUAAUGAAACUGGCAUAUUUAACAUAUUUUUGGCAUCCUUAAUGAACUCAGUUUAAAACUACAGGGGAAAAACAAUGAUGUAUUGCAACAGAUGGAAUGGAUCCAAGGAUUCCGAAAGACAUUAUUGUUGUGGCAAGCGAGACUGAAAAGCAACCGUCCUAGCUACUACAUGUUUCCAAGAUUUUUGCAGCACAUCGAAGAGAAUGUUAUUAAUGAGAACAUUUUGGAGGAAAUAAAACUAGAGAUACUGUUGCAUCUCAUGUCUCUCUCUCAAACCUUUAACCAUUUCUUCCCAGAAGAGAAAUUCGAAACACUAAGACAAAAUUGUUGGGUAAAAGAUCCAUUUGCUUUUCAAAACCCAGAAUUAAUAACUGAGUUAGACCUGGUGCCUGAAGAAGAGAAUGAAUUAUUGCAGCUCAGUUCUUCAUUCACAUUGAAGAAUGAUUAUGAAGCAUUAAGUUUAUCAGCAUUUUGGAUUAAGAUAAAGGAAGAUUUUCCAUUGCUAAGUCAAAAGAGCACCCUGCUACUAUUACCAUUCACAACGACUAGUUUGUGUGAACUGGGAUUUUCGGUCUUAACCCAGUUAAAAACAAAGGAAAGGAAUGGAUUCCCUGGUGCAGCAGAGAUGCGGGUAGCACUCUCCUCCUGUGUUCCAGACUGGAAUGAGCUCUUGCGCAGGCAGGACACUCCCCACGUUAUAUCAGUCUGACCUUGGUUUUGUUUGUGUUUCAUAUUUUGUGAUCCUGUCCUGUAUUGUAUUUAAAUGUUAAUAUAGCAGUGUAUGUGGUAACUUAUGUUUUAUUUUGGUUAAAUACAAUAAAAUAAUUUUAUGUCCAUUGAA